CUUCACCGAGCCCAGCCACAGCGGCCGUUCCGCGCUGUGUCCGGCGCCGUAGGUGGCGAUGAUCGCCUGUGCCUC
rnacentral:antisense_RNA from 1 species